rnacentral:rRNA from 1 species
UGGGGAAUCUUGGACAAUGGGCGCAAGCCUGAUCCAGCCAUGCCGCGUGGAUGAUGAAGGCCUUAGGGUUGUAAAAUCCUUUCGUGGGGGACGAUAAUGACGGUACCCGCAGAAUAAGCCCCGGCUAACUUCGUGCCAGCAGCCGCGGUAAUACGAAGGGGGCUAGCGUUGUUCGGAAUUACUGGGCGUAAAGCGCACGUAGGCGGAUCUAUAAGUCAGGGGUGAAAUCCCGGGGCUCAACCUCGGAACUGCCUUUGAUACUGUAGAUCUCGAGUCCGGAAGAGGUGAGUGGAAUUCCUAGUGUAGAGGUGAAAUUCGUAGAUAUUAGGAAGAACACCAGUGGCGAAGGCGGCUCACUGGUCCGGUACUGACGCUGAGGUGCGAAAGCGUGGGGAGCAAACAGGAUUAGAUACCCCCGUAGUCCCUGAGCGGGCUGGCAAGGCGCAU